ACCCACAUCUGUUGAAAAAGAUGGGGAUGAGCUGUGGAUCGGAGUGAAAGGCUAAUCAAGCUCGGAGAUAGCUGGUUCUCCUCGAAAGCUAUUUAGGUAGCGCCUCAUGUAUCACCCUCGGGGGUAGAGCACUGUUUCGGCUAGGGGGCCAUCCCGGCUUACCAAACCGAUGCAAACUCCGAAUACCGAGGAGUGCAAUCAUGGGAGACACACGGCGGGUGCUAACGUCCGUCGUGGAGAGGGAAACAACCCAGACCGCCAGCUAAGGUCCCAAAAUAUUGCUAAGUGGGAAACGAUGUGGGAAGGCAUAGACAGCUAGGAGGUUGGCUUAGAAGCAGCCA
rnacentral:rRNA from 1 species